rnacentral:rRNA from 1 species
GAUCAUGGCUCAGGAUGAACGCUAGCUACAGGCUUAACACAUGCAAGUCGAGGGGCAGCAUGGUCUUAACUUGCUAAGACUGAUGGCGACCGGCGCACGGGUGAGUAACACGUAUCCAACCUGCCGUCUACUCUUGGACAGCCUUCUGAAAGGAAGAUUAAUACAAGAUGGCAUCAUGAGUCCGCAUGUUCACAUGAUUAAAGGUAUUCCGGUAGACGAUUGGG